UAUCGAAGAAUCAUCGAUUUCCAAACUUAUAGGUUAUGUUACGUUGCCACAAGUACAACGUAAAAGUACUGGUUUUAUUAAUCCGCACGUAUGCUAUAAAAGAUAAUAUAAUAAAAAUAUUUUAAGAGAUAAUAUAAUAGUUGUUACCAGCUGUAUAUUUCUGUCCUGGUUGCUUUUGUAUUACCACGUGGAAGCUUUUAAGUGGUAUUUUAUCUUAUGAAAAGUAUAUAUAGUAUAUAUAUAUAUAUACGAUAGUAAUUCAUAUGUAUAUCAUUGUGAAAUCGUUGAUGAUGUUGCAUGUAAAAUAUUUUGAAUGAUUCAUGAUUUAUGAUUCAAAUUUUUUUUUUUCCCCUAAUCAAAGAAGUAAUAUAUAAUUUUGAUCGUAUUAAAGCAUUUUAUUUUGAGGUACUUGUUAUAAGAUCUAAAAUAAGGAUUAAAAAGUGAAGGGCAUGAUAAAUAAAAUGUUAAAUAUAUAGUCUUGUUAAUAUUCAAAAACGUUUACUUUAAAAAUACAAUGUUCAACUUAAAAAAAAAGAAAAAAAAAAAAGGAGAAAAAAGGGGGAAAAAAAAUUAUGAAUGGUUAGAAAGAAAACAUUCUUUUACUUAGAAUUUCUUUGUGGACAAAGAUAUUAUUUCCACGAAUUUAUUUCAGAAAAAUUAAUUUUCUUUUUUUCAUGGGUUUCCAACCCCUUCGUCGUAUUCGCCCGAGCAGAACUUGAGCAGCUCUUUUUAGACGGACGUAUCGUUUGUUAUCUCUUCAAUUUGAGAUAGCAGCAGAUAAUAGACAUUGCACGAGCAUUGAUUCUGCUCAACCAUGACUUUUGCUAGAUGCUUUCCACUUUGUAUGAAAUGAUUCUAUAUGUUCGAUGUUAACACCUAAUAAUAACAAUGUUAAUAAUAACAUGUAAAUAUAUAUAUAUAUGUAUAUAUGUAUAUAUGUACAUACAUACACAGAGUUAAAUAUUCUACAUCGAUUUAUUAUUAUUCUUAAUAAAUAUAAAUUACCUGCACUUUUUGCUAAUCCAUCAGGACUAAAAGUAAAACUUCUUUUUUCAUCUGGACUACAACCUGUAAGAAGUGUUACAACUGGAGCUUCUGUGUCGUUUGUUAAUCCAACUUUCGUUUGUUGUGUAAGGUAGUGGCAGCAUUCUAUUAUUUGAAAAAAUAACCAUGCUUCUUUAUCCUUUGGCCUUGGACCUUUAAUCAAAGGAAGUGCUAAUCGUUCGUGCGGUCUUUGCGCUCGUAAAAAUCUUGAUCCCUUUCGAAGUUGUGUUUCUAACCAUCUGGUUGCCUCUCUGGCACGACCACUUAUUCGUUUUACUUCAUCCAAAGCAGAGACAACUAUAAAUUGAAAUUUUUUAUU